GAUGAACGCUAGCUACAGGCUUAACACAUGCAAGUCGAGGGGCAGCAUGGUCUUAGCUUGCUAAGGCCGAUGGCGACCGGCGCACGGGUGAGUAACACGUAUCCAACCUGCCGUCUACUCUUGGACAGCCUUCUGAAAGGAAGAUUAAUACAAGAUGGCAUCAUGAGUCCGCAUGUUCACAUGAUUAAAGGUAUUCCGGUAGACGAUGGGGAUGCGUUCCAUUAGAUAGUAGGCGGGGUAACGGCCCACCUAGUCUUCGAUGGAUAGGGGUUCUGAGAGGAAGGUCCCCCACAUUGGAACUGAGACACGGUCCAAACUCCUACGGGAGGCAGCAGUGAGGAAUAUUGGUCAAUGGGCGCAGGCCUGAACCAGCCAAGUAGCGUGAAGGAUGACUGCCCUAUGGGUUGUAAACUUCUUUUAUAAAGGAAUAAAGUCGGGUAUGUAUACCCGUUUGCACGUACUUUAUGAAUAAGGAUCGGCUAACUCCGUG
rnacentral:rRNA from 1 species